rnacentral:rRNA from 1 species
GCUAAACGCGAAGAACCUUACCUACUCUUGCAUCCAGAGAACUUAGCAGAGAUGCUUUGGUGCCUUCGGGAACUCUGAGACAGGUGCUGCAUGGCUGUCGUCAGCUCGUGUUGUGAAAUGUUGGGUUAAGUCCCGCAACGAGCGCAACCCUUAUCCUUUGUUGCCAGCGGUCCGGCCGGGAACUCAAAGGAGACUGCCAGUGAUAAACUGGAGGAAGGUGGGGAUGACGUCAAGUCAUCAUGGCCCUUACGAGUAGGGCUACACACGUGCUACAAUGGCGCAUACAAAGAGAAGCGACCUCGCGAGAGCAAGCGGACCUCAUAAAGUGCGUCGUAGUCCGGAUUGGAGUCUGCAACUCGACUCCAUGAAGUCGGAAUCGCUAGUAAUCGUAGAUCAGAAUGCUACGGUGAAUACGUUCCCGGGUCUUGUACACACC